rnacentral:rRNA from 1 species
UACGGAGGGUGCAAGCGUUAUCCGGAAUCAUUGGGUUUAAAGGGUCCGUAGGCGGGCUCAUAAGUCAGUGGUGAAAGUCCGUGGCUCAACCAUGGAACUGCCAUUGAUACUGUGGGCCUUGAAUUACUGUGAAGUGGCUGGAAUAUGUAGUGUAGCGGUGAAAUGCUUAGAGAUUACAUAGAACACCGAUUGCGAAGGCAGGUCACUAACGGUACAUUGACGCUGAUGGACGAAAGCGUAGGUAGCGAACAGG